UACGGAGGGGGCUAGCGUUGUUCGGAAUUACUGGGCGUAAAGCGCACGUAGGCGGCUUUGUACGUUAGAGGUGAAAGCCCGGGGCUCAACUCCGGAAUUGCCUUUAAGACUGCAUCGCUAGAAUUGUGGAGAGGUGAGUGGAAUUCCGAGUGUAGAGGUGAAAUUCGUAGAUAUUCGGAAGAACACCAGUGGCGAAGGCGACUCACUGGACACAUAUUGACGCUGAGGUGCGAAAGCGUGGGGAGCAAACAGG
rnacentral:rRNA from 1 species